UGAGUUCAAAGUUUUCUAAAUGGAAAUUAAUUUGGUCUCUCUCAUGUCCUAUAAGCAAGCAAGCUGCUCCAUUAUGCCAUACCAUCAAAAUAUUAUGCUAUGCCAAGUGUGGUAACUCUCACCUGUAAUCCUGGCACAUGGGAAGGAAGAAUAUCCUGAGUUCAAGUCUAUAUUCUGAGUUCUAGGCCAACAUGAACUACAGAGUCAGACCUCAUCUCAAAAGACCAAAAUCUUCCAGGUAUGGUUAUUCACACAUUUAAUUCCAGUACCCAGAAAGCAGAAGCAGAGAUAGGCUGAUUUUUGUGAGUUCAAAGCUGCCUGGUCUACAUUCCAGGUCUAAAAGGUUCACACAGUGAGACCUUAUCUUAAAAAACAAACAAACAAACAAACAAACAAAAAAAUAAUUUGUCCUCCUGCUUGUCCUAAACCUAAGUUUAAGCUAAAAGUGAGAGGCACUGUAAUGUGAACAGUAUUCUCCUCUUUAAAAGCUUGUUCCUCCAUCCAUAACACAAUGUGUUCACUGAAGCUCUACACUGGCUGGUUCACUUUGUCUCCCAGUUUUGACAUCCUUUCUUGAGGUUUAACAACUUGGGACAACCUGUGUUCUGUAAACUAAAUGUGUGCAACCAACACCUUGUUUCUGUGGAAAACAAAGUUCUGUGGAGUGGUUGUAACUGCCACCUUACAGAAUUUCAACAGAAUGACAUUAUUCCUACUGUGGCACUGUGUUCAUAGUUUUAAAUGUAAUCUCAUGAAACAGAAAAAAUGAAUACUUUCAAGUAUCUACCUGCCAAAUGUCUUUCAGGCAUGGUUUUCAGAUCUUUUUGUGUAACAGUUUCACUUCCUGGACCUACUUGGGAGAAAGAAUCAAGCUUUGACUUCUUUGGGUCCACAGCUCUCCUCUUUCUAUUUCCUUUUUUAUCUGUAUGGUGCUCAAUUUUGCCUCGUGCUAACUCAACUUUUGAAUCAUUGUCUCCAUCUUCCUCAUCUCCAACUUCAUCCACAGUAACAAAAUUCAGCUCUUCUUUAAGGUUGUUAAAAUCAGCCAGAGAGUUUUCAUCCUCUUCAGUUACUUCAUCCAAAGUCAUUAAGUGAAAAUCACUGCUGUCAUCCUGUAUUUCAUCUACAGUAACUAAAGUGGAAGGGUCUUCAGGCAUCUGGGAAGAAAUGAACCCAAUAGAAUCCCUUUUAUCUCUUUUAGCAUUCAAAGUAGCAAAAGUUAUGUCUGCUGACUCUUCUACUUCUCCAAUUUCAUCCACAGUUACCAAGCGUUCCUGUUGUAGAUCUUGUUCUUCAGCCAUCGACAGGACAGUAACAUCUUUAGGUCCACUGUGGGGAAUGCAAUCAUCUUGGUCAAUUAGUUCAUCUAAGGUCCACCAUGUGCAUCAGCUGAACUGAUCACAGACUUCUGUGAGAUCCGCUCUUGUUGGCGUAAAACUGCAUCUAAUUCAAAUGUAAAGGGUACCUGGUUCAUAGAUGGAGGAUUCAGAGACUGGCUCGUUGUCUGGCUAACUGUUUGGCUAAUAGACUGGCUGAUGGAUUUUACAGGUUCAAGGACUGACUGUCCUGAAAUGUGUAAGCCUGACAUCUUGGUUCCACUCUCAACUGGGAAAAAAGACUGACUGGAGGACUCACCAGGGAAGUCCAUCUGACGAAACAUAUCUCCACCAGGAAACACAGAAUUACAUAUCACAUUUGGAGUUGAAACAGUUGCAGAAAUGCUCUGCUGGGGCUGAAAUUCAUUCUUUACUUCAUCAGUUGGAAUUUCAGGAUCAUAAAUACGUACUUCAAGUGGAUCUUCUGUAUAACCAUAUUUGCUUGCAUGCCCAUAAUCAAUCACAUUACUUGAAACUGUUUCAUUACUAAGUGUUUCCUUAUUUCUGCUGUGAGAAGGUAAAUUAGGUAAUCGGCGGCUCAUUUUUCGCAUUCUUAUAUCCCUCAAUAUUAAUGGCAUAUUUUCAGGAGUUAGCUGUUCAUCAGGAUAGCGGCUAAGUUCUUCUAGAUCUUCAUUUGAUAAUCCAAAACUUGCUAAAAUACUUGAAGCACUCUCUUUUGUGUAGCGGCUCUGUACUUUAGGACUUUGCUCUGUAACCUGGGUUACAGAGCUCUGUUUCACUUCUACCGGUGGAGUUAUAUGAGACUCAUCAUCCCACCGACUACCAUGAGGCUUCCCCUUCUUUUGUUGUGCUUCAGGAAAAUCCAAUUUUUCUUUGGUUAAUCUUGGAUCGGUUCGGUGUUGAGUUACCUGAACAUUCAUUCUUUGUGGUCCCAUGUUCUGAUAAGAUCCGUGGCCAGGAAAUCUGUGUGGAAUUCCACGGGCUCUCCCUGCUGGGUAAAAUCUUGGAAGACCCAUAGAGCCAGGCCUCACAAAUGGUCCUGGAGGCCUCAUCCCAGGAGGAUUAGGUGCUCGUGGCCUUUGAAGUGGAAAGGUCCCUCGAGGAUUAAACCUGGGUCUCGACAUGGCUACUUUCAAGAAUGCCUGAUUUAAAAAAGUAUAAGGUGGUGUUGAACCAUGGGAGGCAACGGCAUUCAGCUGCUGAAGCGCCAACUGAGUCUCAAUCUGAGCAAAGCGCAAAGGAGACGGGCCCAACAGAAGUGGGCUCGCAAUGCCCAGGCUCAAGGAAUUCACAAGUGGUGCGAAAUUUU
rnacentral:lncRNA from 1 species